CCCGGAACAGAGCCGAUCCCGAGCAGCUGGGUGGAGCCCACGGGAAUCUGUCUCCCACACCCACUCCACUAUCCACUCAUGCGGACUAGCCCGGCCUUGAUAACAGUGAAAAUAAAGACAUUGCGAGACCGCGUAACCUCUUCCCCGGUGAUACGAAGGCGCUACCAGGCCAGCCGGAAGACAUACUGUUGUCUCUCCAGUGUCCUGGAUUGUCCCCGGUCCCCCUGCCAGUGGGACAUGCCCAGAACACCUCACCGGCCCGGAGGCAUCCUUAUCAGAUGCCCAAGCUACCUCAUCUGGCUCCAGCUCCACUCUGACCCCUCCCAGAUGACCCAGAUUCUCACCUUAUCUGUCAGGGAGAGCCCACACACCCUGCGGAGGAAACUCAUUUCGGCCGCUUGCAUUUGGGAACUUGUUCUUUCGGCCACGACAAUAAAUAUAUAUUCCACACCAGGCAAAUUCUCCAAACAACAUAUUUCAUAUUGAGUGACAAAUGAAAAAAAAAGAAUACUUUCAAAUUCAUCCACGAUUAGGAAUUAAAAAAAAAGACAAAA